GCUUUGAUUUUGGCUUUUGCAAGAGAAAUAAUUUCCCAUAUAAAGGAAAGAGCCCAGAUGAACAGGAUGGAAGAACUGGCUCACGUGACGGGGAGAGAGUGGAGUCAACUAGAAGCCCAAGUCCGGCUUCCCAAAGUCGGUCUGUAUCCUGUGAGCCCCCAAAUAAUGUCAUGGCUCUGAUCCUGGAUGCCACGAGAUGUCUACAAGAAAACGAAUACCUGGCCCUCUCCUGGAGGAUGCUGGAGCACUUCAUCAACUACGUACAGCACUGCUGAAGAGGCAGAAAGAAGUGAGUGCUCCAAGACAUCAUCUUGUUUGUGUGCUGGUCCCACAGAGCCCCAGCUGAGCCCCUGCAGUGCUGUGCACUCUCUGGAUGGAGUGUCACCUACCAAGGAUGCAGCAAAUGCAUGCACAAGGAAGCUUUAAAAUAUGGCAGGGCAUCAUUAUUGACGUAGAAAGAUUAAUGGUGAUGUUGUUCCCUGUAGCCUGCAAGAGAUGAAUGUGUCUGUUUAAAGCUCUCAGGCUCUGAGCUCCUCGAAGUAUCCUUCCUUAAUGCUGAUGGGUAAAUCCAUACCUAAGCGUGCUGUAAUUUGUUGCAAGUAGCCUCUUCUCUCCCCUUUGGGUAUUCCUGUGCUCAUAUCUUUGCCAUCAAAGACAGAACUUCCUUAAUCUUUCUUCCUUCUUCAUUAAAUUCACAGCUUUGGUAAUUUA